CCGACUCCACUACGCACUAAGCAUCCGUUUUAUUUUGUUCUCUAGCGGUGCUUGAAGAGUCUAUAUCGCCUUUGUUACACCACAAAGUCUCGGCCUUCAAAACUCAUUUCGAACACAAGCGGAAAAGCGAAACUGACAAUCUGAAGCUCUGUCUUGAAUAUUCGAACUAUGUCUGUGACGUUCUCCACUACCAGCUCUACUCUGUGGAUCUGCUGUAUAACCAUAACUAUGCUUCUCGUAAUGAGACAGCUCUCCUCAGCUACAUCUUGUUAUACAACAUAUAUGAGUUGCCGAUAUAAUUACCAGUGCUGCUCUAAAAUAUGCGGUGGCCAUCCACAAGUAACUGUUUGCCUAUAAGCAUCGAUCAGGAGGAGCUGUGUUAUUUAACAUUUAUCUAUCCCAGCCUCAUUGUAAUCAGGCUGCUUAUUUUGGCAAAAAAAGGGUAACAACUAAAAGAAUGAGUCAAAUCAUCAAUUGACUAGUGACAAUUCGCGAGAGUGGGAUUAAAGAGAGCUCCGUUUUAAAAUGUUUCAAUAGAAUAAUACUCGAGAACUUCAGAAUCUUUUUUUCAGAAAUAUUUUGAAAUAUUAUGAAAAUCAUUUGAAUGAAAAAUUUUGUUAUCAUAAAAAUGAAGUAUUUUUACGAGAUCAAUCCAAAAGGAAUCAUUGAUUUGGUUGUACAAUGGUAUAAUAUCUAUUUUUUGUUUAAAUUAUAUAUAGUACAUAGAACUAUAACACGCUUAAAUUAAUAUAGACACAACUUGAGAUAAUUAGUGUACUACAACCUAAUUUCUUUCGAGAAUACAUUUGCA